UGCACAGCUACUCACUAAGGUCUUAUAAGCUGCUAAAACCUGGAGCUGAGCAGUUAGGUUUUGCUGCUGUUAAUAUAUCCAUGUAAACAACACUGCCCGCAGUGGUCACUGCAAACAGCUCUCUAAACCCCAGGGAAGUUAGCAGCAUUCCUUUUGUGUUUUCACUGUGCAUAGCUUUUGAAAGGGAGGAGGCAUGUAUGGAGGAAGGAUAGGUUAGUGCAACCGUUGGGGAUUUUGUUUGUUUUUCUAUUUCUUCCAGGCUGUCAGAUUAAACAACAGAAUGAAUUCAGCAGUAUUUUGCCUUUCUACUUUUAUUGUUUUGUAGAAGAAAAGCCUUGUGACUCUACAAAUACCAGUUCCUGUGGGGAAAGGGGGCAGCAAGCACAUCUCUCAGCCAAUCUCUAUACUUCAUGUAUAGAGAUUUUAAAACCCUACUUUGUGCUGGAAGUGUGCAGCUGCCUCAUGAAAUGCAUCACCCACCAUUGUGUCAGAAGCAACAACAAGUCUGUCCGUGCUUGCAGAAGAACUUGCAGAGGUGGAAGAAACUCCUGGCCUCUAUAUUCUCCUUUCUCUGACCUCCAGGAAACCUGCCUUCGUUCAGAUGCUGAUCUUUGCUGUGUUUGUCCAGGGGGAAGUCACACAAGGUGCUGCUUCCUGGCACCAAACGGCAGUGAAGUGGUGACAAACUUCAGUACUUAUUCCCACCAUCUGCCAACUCAAACCUAGAGAGUCUUGUUUAAAAGGUCUUGUAUUCCCAUUUCCUGUUGUCUGAAGCCUGCUUACAUGGUUUAAAACCUACGAAUUCACCCAUUGCGGGGGAUGCUCUGUGCUGUCCUGAGGGAAUGAACAUGAACCAACUUGCACUUCCAGUCUUUGAGGGUUUUUCCCCCAUGCCCUGUUUGAUUCUCAGUCAGUGUUGCCAACUUCUUGCUAUGCCAAAAGAUGGUUUCCUUACCCCUAUACUGCAAACACCCUCCUGACUGGGAGCAGGCAACCCUCCAAGCUGUUUCCUUCUCUGGCAAGUCUUCCGACAUGGGAGUUGGAGCAAAUGACAUGUGAUGACACGAACCUCUGCUUCUUUCUCCGCUGUAACUAUCUCAGCUCUCUGGUGGGUCCCAGUGAAUGUUGCCACCUCCAACUGAGUUGCUUUCCAUGAGCAUUUACUGAAACACAAAAGGAAUCUGAGUUUGCAGUUCAGGCCUUAGCACGCCCAACAGGACAAGUUUGAAACGUCAACUCCAAGGUCAAGAAAGUGGGAAUAGGACUCAGUUUUUCUGUAUCUCUCUUGUGUAUCUUGGCAGGUAAGAUUAUUUUGAGGCCGUCCCCUAGCUUUUUUUUCUUUUAUUCUCCCUGUAAAGGAAUUAUAAGGCAUCCUACAUUUUUCACAAUGCAAGAUGAUAGAAAGAAAACGGAAGUUGCAAUAUGUCCGAAAAAGGAAGGUGACCUCUUGCUGAAACAUGACAAACCUGAGGGUGGGUUCUGUAGUCUGGCCAUAGCACUCUGCACUGUCUGUUUGUGGUGUCAGGAGAAAGCAAAUAUUGUUCUGAACUGCAGUGAUGAAUUCUGACAUGGUUAAUAUGGAAACAAGCACAUAUUUUUAACAGUAAAACUGCUGAAUGAGAGAAACAUCAAAAGAUUUUGCUGGAAGCUCUGUUACUUGGAGCCUUUAAACUCAGAUUGGCUGUCUUUCCAAGAAAUAAGCUCUUACACACCAUCAAAUUAUUUUAUUUGAUACAGGUAUUCCUGAUACAAUUUUGAGGCUUGUUUGAGGCAAAAGGCCACAAUAAUAAUUCUAAAUGUUCCUUCUGGACUUAAACUCUAUCUGAAAUGACAGCUGCAGGAGUUCACCUGAGCCUCCUGCUGCUGUUCUGCAGUGCAUUGCUUGACAUUUGGAAAUUACUCAAAUGCUUCUACUCUGAGUUGGAUGUUAUCAGGGAGGUUCAUCAGAGACCCAGAGUGGGCUGUGAGGACCAGUGUGAAGCCUGGGGACAGCAGCGUGGCUGUCAGACACUGCUCAGCAGCAGGCUGAAGUGCUGUGAGAGUAUACUAAGGCACAAGCUGUGCCUCAGUCCGCCUCUUCAGAGUGAAAAGGCUGGAGGAGGUAAGGGAGGACAGCACAGAAACCUGACAAUAGCUCAUUAAGAAAGCCUAGUUGUUCUUCUGUCGCAUUCCUCCUCCAAAAACUGUUACUUUAGAUAAUCAUGAAAACGUGUCCCGUGGCAUGAAAAAAAGCCGUACCUACCACCUCUGUUUAGAAGAUGAUAGUGUUUUGGCAAGUGCUUUAAUAGCCACUGAAAUGCCCAAUGCAUGUUAACAAUCUAACCAAUAAGUUAUAGGCUCUUUUUUUAAUUCAUUGAGGAACAUUGGCAAAACUGCAAACAUAUGUUUCUGUUGCUAAAGCUUAGUCUUAUCACAGUUUGAAAAUGUGGAAAAUCAAUUACAUGCUUUGAAUUACUCCCUUUAUUGCUAUAAAAGAAUUUCUUCAUUCUUUCAGGGCAGUGUAUACUUGGUAACAUCUACCGCUAACAGGCUGUUAGGACUUUCUGCUAAAUUAAUACACUACAAGCAAACUAAACAGAAGGCCGGUGGAAUGCUAAACAUCCACUUUCUCUUCUGUUGUGGCUGUGCUGCAGCUUGGGAACCCUCAGCCUUGUUGCUACAACAUCUGGACAACAUUUGGGGCUGUCUCUCAAGUGCACGGGUGUGCACCUCCGGUGAAUUUUAACUUUCAACAUCUCUCUGCCUCUAAUCUAUAUUUAAUGUUUCAUGACUAGUAGUCAAAGAAACUUCAGCUAAAUAUCAGGUUGGAAUGAAAAUGAUCCUUGGGAAAACACUCAUUUAGAGCGUUCGCCGGCAAAGUAUCUGUGACAGAGACGUUCCCCGGAGAUUUGUAGCCCAUUCUCUCACAGUAAUAAUAAUUAAGACUUGUGAUUACUGUGCCCACAUAAUCAAAGAUCGCUUCAUAAAAUGUACUCCCUAAAGGGAAGAAUUCCCUGCUCCUAACUGGAUGUCAGUCAGAGGGAUCAGCACCCCCAGGGAUCUGGAGUCUUUGCUUGCCCUUUUCAUUACAGUGUUGUUAGCAUUGUGUUACUUCAUAUUCUUCUCGAUGCAAAUGAGUAGGUAAUCAUGUGUAAAUCGUGCCCUCCAGAAGGCACAUGUGGUGAGUUUUUUUUCCCCAAAUCUACCACAGGGAUUUCUCACAUGGAGCAUAAUUACAUCUCUGCCAUAUGGGCUCAUUUAUAUUCUAUUACAGGUUAAGCUAAUACGACUCAGAAAUAUGCUAAAAAUACCUCAAAGUAUUUUGAACACUGUCAAAACACUUGUCAUUUCUUGCUUGCCCGUUUGAUUGUGAAUGACUUUAUAUUUAUUUAGAGAUCCACAGUGCCAAGUAACUUUAGAAAAACAAAAUAAGGCCAGCUUUGUGCUGCCUGCUCUCCAAAAAAGUUUAUAUUCUGUCCCAUGACAUUCUCUUCUGCUGAUGGCAAAUACGUCAGUGAACAAUGACACCAAAAAGCCUCUAAGACACAUUUACCUGAAGAAGUACCACUGUGAAUUUUAGAUUUCCCAGGAGGAGAGGAGCACGCAUUUCAACCAUGUAGCUCUGUUGUUAUUAAGACUCUAUCAGGUCUGUGUUUGAUGCAAUUACUUUGUCUUGACAAAGCUGUACCUGCACUUUAGUUGUAAUGAAAGUACAAAUCUCUCUGCUACCCACAGAACAAGGACUGUUGUUGAAAGCAAGCUAUGUUUGUCUAUAAAAAGACUGUAAGAUAAGAAUAGGUCAGUUGUAUCAUAAAUAAAUAGGUUCAAACUGAAGCAACUGAAGGUUAUAUAACACUGUUUUCAAAACUGUAUUAGUAUACAAUAAUAAUAGUACACAAUAAUGUGCUAUUUUCCACUUUCAGUGGAAAUCUUAAAUUUCAUUUGAAGAUUUUAUUUGACAAGGCUUUUUAUUAUUUCACUGCUUUCUAAAACUAAUACCGCUGAUAUCUCUGGAUACAAUCUGGGCCUACCGCAAUCAAUUUUCUUUUUAUUCUUUUUAUUUAGAGGCAGUAUUUUAGUCUUUGAAAUUUGAUCUGGUUUCCUUUUUUCCACUAACUGAGGAGGAACUGUAUAGACAGCAACAUGCGGUAGGGAAGAACAGGUCAGGGGAUGGGAGAGAACCACACUGGAUCUACAUGUGAUACAUCAGCUGAUACAUUGCAAAAGCAGUGGCUGACCUUGGUUCAAGGAGAAAUCUCCUAGAAGCUGGACUGGGGUUUUGAAAGCAAGAGCUUCAUGUUUCCUCUAACCACAAAGUAAAAUGCAGUCCUGGUUUAUAAUGCCCUUUGAGGUGCUGGGUGAUGAAUAAUUCUUCGUAGGCACACAAUCAAUUCUAUAAUCCAUACUUCUGUAACCUUUCUAAUAUUUUUCAGAUAUUUGCUAGGAAGUGUUAGUUGUUUUGGCUUUUGUUUUCUUAUCAUACCAUAGAAUAAUCAACAUUUUAAACUAUUCAGCCUCUGAACACCAAGCCCAAUAAUUCCUGAUUGUUUUUCAUGCUCUUAGAGAACAAUAAUUACUAGCACUUUGUCUUCAGACCUCUAUGCAAUAAUAUGCAUAGGCAACUUACACUGUGUCUGAAAAAUCCCCUUGAAGUCCAACAUGUAAGUAUUUUUCUGAAUCAAAGCCUGGGAGCUAUGAUGUCUGUAAUUGUGCAAGAGCCUUAAAAUCACAGAAGGGAGUUUUGUUGGAGUUUACGUUGUUCUGAACAGACACCUUUCAAAAUCAACUGGAACAACAGAGUUUUGGUCAGAACUGCACAGCGAUCAUUGCUGAAUAAGGAGACUGUUCAACUGCACAUUCAUUGUAAAAGGGGAAAAAAAUGGGCCAGCUAAGAGUUUAUUACCUGAGAAGAGUAUUUUUCCAGCCUUCGUUGUUCCUGAAGCCGUGCAAGGGACACUGCAGUGAUUUCAUACAUCAGGGAGACAUAAAGAAAGAGUGGUCUCUUGGGCUGUGGAACAAAGAGAAACAAACUUCAAAUCUCAGAGCAAACUCUAUUAAAUAAUGUUUUAAUUCAGCUGUCAUAGGCAUUUGAUUAAAGAAUAUGCUGUACAAUUUCUUUUUCAGUUUCUACAGCCCUGAUCAUGUAAGAGCGUCCUGUGCCCUUGGAAAAACAACCCUCCCCCUUUUGCACACAAAAGGGAGUCUUUUACUCUACGUCUUCACAGCGUGCCUCCUUUUUUCUCCAGGCAAGGUUUUUCAUUUUCCUUCCACAAUUUCAUUUAAUAGAAAAGCACGGUCACUGCGGAUGCUGCAUGGAAAGAUCACUGCGUGCAAUGGUUUUAUCCUCAUCCCCAGGCAACCAGCAUGUCCUGGUGCUGCACUCAGAUCAGUGCAGUUCCUGGAGCCCAUGGUCAUCUUGUGCCAGGCUGGAGCAAGGUGGGAUGAAUAUGUAACAGUGUUCCAAAAUAUCAGGGACAACAACCUUUCCAAGAGAGAGGACAAUGGCUCACAUAACUUGUGGCACUGAGGGACAUGGUUUACCAGGCACAGUGGUGAUGGGUUGAUGGUUGGACUAGAUGAUCUUGCUGGUCUUUUACAACCUUAAUGAUUCUGUGAUUCUGUUUUAUGUUUCUCCUUUGUUAACUGCAUGCAGAAGGUGGCGAUUUGGUAAUAUUUGCUUUACUUAUUUAUCAGUGAUAUAUCAGUAUGUCAGUAUUGUCCGUUGGAUGUUGGGCGUAUAUGAGUUUUAGAGCAGAAUUUUCUUGCUGGGUCUGCACACAUAUGCUCAGUUAUGCCUCCUACAUGAGGCUUUUAUCUGUGGUCAGUGCCUAUAUGGGAAGUUCUGGACUGCAUUGGAAAUUGGUGCAUUUCAUCAUGCAUAUUAUUUGCAGGAAUAUCUAAGAUCAAGUGCCUUUGCAUAAAAAUGUUAUUCUUAAUAUCCACACUGACAUUCUAUAUCAUCCAUUCCUGGAUAUUCAGUUCAUCUCACAAUAUGUUUGGACCUCCUUUGUUGUCUGCUGGGUAAAUGUGAAAUUCUUUUGCUGUCUAACACGAUCUACUAAUACCCAGCUCUCUGAAACCCUCUGUUUCAUACAAUUAUUAUUUGCAUCAUCUAUUUGGCUAACACACAGUGACUGUGCUCCAAAUCUGCGUAGAUGAUAAUCUGUUUUAAUACCUGUACAAAUCAAUUAAAUCUAUUUUGUGCACUGUUCACUGCAUGCCAAAUUGGGUGGGAGAGUAAAUGCACUUAGCAGAGGAAUCAGACUGCACAUAAACAUGAAUUAGACAAGCCUUGCAAUAUGAGUCGCGGUGGAGGUGAAAUAUAGCAUUUAACUCCUUCAUCUACAGAUAGAUUUUUUAAAAGUGGCUGAAAGGAUCCAGCAUUUCUUGUGGGACACCUCAAUGCAUUGUGAACCCCAGAGUGUAGGCACCAUAUCUUCAGACCUCCUUGUGAGGCUGGACUUUCGACCUUGUGGUUUCUAAUCACCAUCACUACAGUGCUUGUAAAUCUCCAGACUGGCUGACCGCAAAGCUAACUGGAGGUCUGGGGCAGCUUGUGGACUGUGUAAGAGGGGACAGGUUCAAGCUUUCAAGACUUUACCCUGCACUGCGUGAAUUUCUUCACUUGCAAAAUUAAACCUUCUUCAAGCAAUAUUUGUCUGGCAAACCUCCAUUUUUUCCAUCACACCUAUCCUCCCAUAGGUAAUGUUUAAUCACACCGGGUAAAUUUAAAGUUGAGAAUGACAGAAAUGUUUUAUACCCCUCCUUAAAAUCCAUAAUAAAGUAUUGAUAUAAAUGGACUCAAAAACGAAUUACUAACCACAUUUAAAAUAUGUGGAUAGAUAGAUGAAAUUCUGUGCCAAAGAAACUGUUGUAAGGCUAUGUAUGUAUCUAACACGUGCUGCUAAAAUUUUGCAUCAUAAAGCACUGUACACAAAAGAUCACUGUCAGUGGGAAGAUGAAUUGAUUAAUCUUAAUAUUACAGCAGUAUUCCAGAUUGUAGAUACUUGAACAGAGUUUAGUUGUAGAAAUGGCCAAGCAAUCCUGCUGCUGCUCCGACCAAGGCUGCAGCAUGAUCUUGUUUUGGGUCUGCGGUCUGUAGAAGGGGGCAGUAUAAAAUGAAGCCUUACUGUGAAAUUUAACUUUGGUACCAGCUGAAAUUUUUACUGCCAUCUCGCCAAGACUUCAUACAACGACCUGCAUUUAACACUUGGACUUCCUGCACUGCACAGCUUGCUUUUUCUCAUUGGGUAAUGGUGAACUGCAGAGGACUUGGAGGACGGAGCUGAGAAUCCAGCAGUGAACAUUCACAAGGAAAGUUUUCUUCAUGACCCUGUAAACUCCUCUUGCGUCCCAGAAUACUAGAGAGCAUUCAGCUCUGUGCAGUACAAUGUAACCUUAGAUGUUGUCUUAGUUCAUUUCAAGAUUGUUGGUCUCUAGUUGAGUCAAAUUUGAUUGCUGAUUUCUUCCAAGUAGAGGAACUGAUAAACCAAAAAGCUGCAUGCAGAUCUGUUAUUACGUAGGUAAUUCUGGAAGUAAUACCUCCUAUUUCCAUGGAAACUACAACAGAUGCAAAGAGCACAGUGACACUAUUUGAUAGAGAUUGAUUUCUCAGCCACAAAAUGCUGUUUUUCAACAUUGUCUCCACCAUUAGCUGAUUUGUGCAGAGCCUUCAUUGCUUUACAUCCAUUGAGAAGAACUGUUCCAGUUAUCUCCCAAAUUGCAUUUCAGCAGCUGGCAAGCCUGACUUCACAGAUAAACUGGAGAGCACCCCAACAUAAGUAGUUGCAGGACGCAGCUUUUCCUGCUUCAUUCAACAGUAGAUGGGCAGCAAUUAGCACUCUCAGAGAUUGAUGCCUCCCAUCAGCACACAGAAGACGGUUUCUCUUCCAUAUUUCUCACAGACUAAACAUUAGACGAGAGACAACAGAUAAAUCCAUCAAGCAGCCCAGAUACCAGAGAAAUGAUUACUGAUUGAUGCAAUGAGUCAUAGCAGUGCCUUAUUACAAUAUUACUUUGCUUUACCAGGGACUUGGAAAAAUUGCUCUUCCUGGCACAAUAAAGGUUUAAAGAGGGCAUUCAGUAA